rnacentral:rRNA from 1 species
UAGGGAAUAUUAGAAAUGGACGAAAGUCUGAUCUCGCAACACCGCGUGUGCGAAGAAGGCCUUCGGGUUGUAAAGCCCUUUUUGGAAGGCUUAGGAAGGAAUGUACUUCCAGAAUAAGUCUCGUCUAACUACGUGCCAGCAGCCGCGGUAACACGUAGGAGGCCACCGUUAUCCUGAUUUACUGGGCGUAAAGCGCGUUUAGGUGGUUCUGUAAGUAGGGGGUGAAAGCGCCUGGCUCAACUGGGAGAGGGC